rnacentral:tRNA from 1 species
GCGUCCAUAGCUCAGUGGAGUAGAGCGCCACCCUCCGAAGGUGGAGGUCGAAGGUUCGAUUCCUUCUGGAUGCGCCA